UUAACUCGAAUUUGUAUGGAGUUGGAACGUUUGCCUAAGUGUACCGCUAAGGGCGCUGUUCCAACUGCAUACAAAUCUUAGUUA
rfam:Bombyx mori DNA, contig: Bm_scaf26_contig16943, strain: p50T/Dazao, build 2, whole genome shotgun sequence.